rnacentral:misc_RNA from 1 species
GGGCCGGCGGCCAACUCCCAGGCUGCUGUCGCCGCAGCUUCCUCUAGCCCUGGCGCGUCGGCUUCCAUCCCCUCCUUGUCUCCUCCUGUGUCCCAUGCAACCAAAGGGCGCUCCAAGUCCGUUCGGUGGGGUGACCUCAGUCCGGCUUCUUCGGAUGGCGCGACGUCGUUCGACUCCCGGCCUUCCUUCAAGGAUGUGCUGGUGAGAACAGCGAACCCUUCGCCGCCCGGCCGCGUGGCAGCCCAAGGGUCUGUCCCGGCAGCUGGAAAGUCCUCGGCGCUAGGGAAGGUGUACCGUCAGCCGCACCCCCUGUCUACAAAACGGCGGAGCCCCAAGCAGGCCACUCAACCCACACCGGCAAUCCGCCCAGCUCCAGGAUUAUCUGACCAUGGAUGGACGACGGUGGAGUCCAAGAAGGGUAGAAGUCGCCGGCUGAAGGCUUCGUGGCUCCCGGGCCGGGUCCCGGCUGAUCUUGUUGGGCGUUGCUUCAACUGCUUGGGUUGCGAUCACCGGGCUGCAGACUGCGGCAGCGAACCUCGGUGUUUCCUCUGUUCUGCGCUUGGCCACAAGUCCUCAUCCUGCCCCAAGGCUUCGGUGUGGAGGAGGCUCGGGUGUCCUAGACCUGUGAAGUCGGUCUGGGAGCGGCUUUCACCGGCGGUAGAGGGAAGGGUCCAACGACCGGCAAGGCGUCGUCCGGUUUGGCAGCGUAUUGCUCCACCAGAAGUCAUUCCGGUCGUCCCUUCUGUCCCGGUGGGCAACAUGCUUGGCGUCUCGGCCGCACAGGGUAAUGGCGGCCCUGCCAGCUCCAGGCGCAAACGGUGGAGGAAGAAGAAGCGCAAGGAGCGUGAAGAUAAGCCGGCUUUGGAGAUUUCGGCUCCACCUCCUCCCGAGCAGAUGCUUCCGGCGAGUGAUGAGACUGCUUGUGUUAUUGAUUGGUCGGUUCAGAUGUCUAUUGCGGAAGAUAAUCUCAAGACGGCUGGGGUGAUCACAGUGGUUAGCUCUAGAGACGUCAGCGCUGACGAGAUCGCGUUGGUUUUGGCCCCACGGCUAGAAAUGGAGGUGGGAGGAUUGGUUCUCCGUCAGUUCUCCCAGUCCAGCUUCUUGGCUGUCUUACCCAACCAAGUGCAGCUCGACACGCUGGUGGAUCGCUUCCAUAUCAUCAGAGAAGAAAACUUCAUGCUCUCCUCUAGGCGUUGGACGAGGUUCAGGGGUGCUGUUGGUAAUUCCUUGAAGCAUCUCGUGGAACUUGAGAUCAGAGGUCUAUCGUUGCACGCGUGGGAGACUUCGGUGGUGCAGCAUUUGAUCAACCUCCAUGCUUGCAUUUCCCAGGUUCUGCCCGACACGCUGGAAAUCAGGAAUCUGGAAGUCUUUCGAUGCCUUGCUUGGUGCUGUGAUCCUGAACAUAUCCCAUCUAAGAAGGACCUCUGGAUCACUGAACCAGACCAGGCUUCUGUUGCUGAAGGGAAGAAGGCUCUGGUGUAUCCGGUGCAAAUUCGUUGGGGCCCUGCUGAUUUGAAUCUCAUACCUGGCGCUCCACAGCCGCCAGUUGGUGCUGGCGAUCAGGACAAACCUGAUACCCCCCUUCACGGAGAAGAUGUGGUGACAACCCUCCACCCACUCAACAUGCUGCAGCCUUUGAAGACCCCGACAUAAUGACCCACAAUCAGCGGCGGCCGGUGCAUGACCGAUUGGGACCUUUGAGGCGCUCGGAUUCCCCCAAGGAAUUGAGCCAGCCUUGGGUUCUGGUUGAUACAGAGGCCCGGAGCAGCCAGCCCUGUGAUCUGCUUGAUGCAGUGGUGUGCAGCAGAGUAGGGAUUCCUCCGGCUCCUGCGCCGGAUGGGGCUCUCUGUCUGGCGGCUGGGGAUGUGCUGCUGCGGCGCGAGGGGGGCUGCGAUUAAGUAAUCCCCAUGACCUCGUUGGCCGCUUCCAGCA